AAUUUUUUUUAGGUUGACCUCUGAUCAGGUAGGAAUACCCGCUGAACUUAAGCAUAUCAAUAAGCGGA
rnacentral:rRNA from 1 species